CAGCCCUGUAGGAGACACCUCCAGAGAAAGUAACAGCUCUCAAUUGAUUAGCUGAGAAUAAACAGAUGCUUUUACAGCUCGCCUUGGCGGGAAGAUCUGGCACAAAUGAAGUAUCUAUAAGGAGCAGCAGAGUCAAGGAAGACACCAGACAAAUGAGUUACACUGUUUUGGACUCCCCAACACAACCCAGCCACCGGCUGAAUGCCACCAAAUUACCUUCUAGUUAAAGGUUUAUGGAGCAAACGAAUCACCUAUUCAAUAUCUGCUUGAAUUUCUGACUCAAAAUACAUCAGGUAUGUACUGUGUGACUUAAAUAUUGAGUUUAUUUUUAUCAAAUACCUGUCAAGAAAGAAAGUCAAUUCUGAAACAGCAGAAGCUCAAAGUUCUACAGAUGGCUUUCAAAGGAAUUUGAAUUAGACAUCAUUUGAUGUUGCAAAAAACAAUGACAUCUUUUAUAGCUCUAAACAUCAGUUUUUAAAUUAGAGAUUGAUCUAUAAA
rnacentral:lncRNA from 10 species